rnacentral:rRNA from 3 species
GAUGAACGCUGGCGGUAUGCUUAACACAUGCAAGUCGAACGGUCUCUUCGGAGAUAGUGGCGGACGGGUGAGUAACGCGUGAGAACAUGCCUUUAGAUUGGGGACAACAGUUGGAAACGACUGCUAAUACCGAAUGUGCCUUAGGGUGAAAGAUUUAUUGUCUAGAGAUUGGCUCGCGUCAGAUUAGCUAGUUGGAGUGGUAACGGCACACCAAGGCGACGAUCUGUACUUGGUCUGAGAGGAUGACCAGGCACACUGGAACUGAGACACGGUCCAGACUCCUACGGGAGGCAGCAGUGGGGAAUUUUCCGCAAUGGGCGAAAGCCUGACGGAGCAAUACCGCGUGAGGGAGGACGGCUUUUGGGUUGUAAACCUCUUUUAUCAGGGAAGAAUCGAUGACGGUACCUGAUGAAUCAGCAUCGGCUAACUCCGUGCCAGCAGCCGCGGUAAUACGGAGGAUGCAAGCGUUAUCCGGAAUUAUUGGGCGUAAAGCGUCCGUAGGUGGUUUAUCAAGUCUGCUGUCAAAGCGUGCGGCUUAACCGCAUAAGGGCAGUGGAAACUGAUGAACUAGAGUGCGAUAGGGGUAACAGGAAUUCCCAGUGUAGCGGUGAAAUGCGUAGAUAUUGGGAAGAACACCAGCGGCGAAAGCGUGUUACUGGGUCUGCACUGACACUGAGGGACGAAAGCUAGGGGAGCGAAAGGGAUUAGAUACCCCUGUAGUCCUAGCCGUAAACGAUGACAACUAGGCGUGGUUCGUAUCGACCCGAGCCGUGCCGUAGCCAACGCGUUAAGUUGUCCGCCUGGGGAGUACGCACGCAAGUGUGAAACUCAAAGGAAUUGACGGGGGCCCGCACAAGCGGUGGAGUAUGUGGUUUAAUUCGAUGCAACGCGAAGAACCUUACCAAGGCUUGACAUCCUCGGAACCCUGAUGAAAGUUAGGGGUGCCUUCGGGAGCCGAGAGACAGGUGGUGCAUGGCUGUCGUCAGCUCGUGUCGUGAGAUGUUGGGUUAAGUCCCGCAACGAGCGCAACCCACGUUUUUAGUUGCCAGCAUUCAGUUGGGCACUCUAGAGAGACUGCCGGUGACAAACCGGAGGAAGGUGUGGAUGACGUCAAGUCAGCAUGCCCCAUACGCCUUGGGCUACACACGUACUACAAUGCGUCGGACAAAGAGCAGCCAGCCAGCGAUGGUGAGCCAAUCUCAUAAACCGGCGCUCAGUUCAGAUUGCAGGCUGCAACUCGCCUGCAUGAAGGCGGAAUCGCUAGUAAUCGCAGGUCAGCAUACUGCGGUGAAUACGUUCCCGGGCCUUGUACACACCGCCCGUCACACCAUGGGAGUUGGUCACGCCCGAAGUCGUUACUCUAACUGCUUGCAGAGGAGGACGCCGAAGGUGGGGCUGAUGACUGGGGUGAA